GAUGAAGAACGUAGCGAAAUGCGAUAACUAAUGUGAAUUGCAGAAUUCCGUGAAUCAUCGAGUCUUUGAACGCGCAUUGCGCCCCCUGGUAUUCCGGGGGGCAUGCCUGUCCGAGCGUCAUUGCUGCCCAUCAAGCACGGCUUGUGUGUUGGGUCCUCGUCCCCCCCGGGGGACGUGCCCGAAAGGCAGCGGCGGCACCGCGUCCGGUCCUCGAGCGUAUGGGGCUUUGUCACCCGCUCUGCAGGCCCGGCCGGCGCUGGCCGACGCGAAAGCAACCAUUUUUUCUCCAGGUUGACCUCGGAUCAGGUAGGGAUACCCGCUGAACUUAAGCAUAUCAAUAAGCGGAGGA
rnacentral:misc_RNA from 1 species